CCCUCAUACUACUUGUUCAUGUUAUAGGUUAAUAUGGAUUCAGAGGAUCAAGAUAUGAUGUUAUAUUUAAUUUUAUAACAAUCUUUUUUAGAGAUGGUUGAACUUUGUUUUACAAUUUUAAUGAUAGUUAGUCAUUCUUCACUAUGGUUUUAUGAAAAUAAUUUCAUUAGACAACAACCGAUGGAUAGAGAAGGAUUAAGGGGGGAAUUUUUAUAAUCUUUGAUCAAGAGAGAUAAUGUGUUAUGUGUUAAUCAACUUCGUAUGGACAUUAGAUCAUUUCGAUUAUUAUGUUGUCUCCUCCGUAAUGAAGGUCAAUUGAAAGAAGAUGGACUAGUAUGUUGUGAAGAACAAGUGGCUAUGUUCUUACACAUAUUGGCACAUCAUUCAAAAAAUCGUGUAAGUAAAUUCCUAUUUAAAUGAUCCGGGGAAACUGUUAGUAGGUAUUUUAAUUUAGUCUUGAAUGGAGUUUUAAGAUUGAAUGAGAUACUUCUUAAAGCUCCAGAACCUGUCCCUGAAGAUUGUGUGGAUGAAAGAUGGAAAUUGUUUAAGAAGUGUCUUGGGGCACUAGAUGGAACACAUAUCCAAGUCAAUGUACCAGCGCUUGACAAGCCUCAAUAUCGUAAUAGAAAAGAGGAUAUAUCUACCAAUGUUUUGGGUGCAUGUUCUAGGGAUAUGCAAUUUAUUUAUGUGUUUCCUGGAUGGGAAGGAUCGACAUCAGAUACUAGGGUAUUGCGGGGUGCCAUUUCUAGGAGGAAUGGUUUAAUUGUUCCAACAGGUUAUUAUUAUCUUGUGGAUGCUGGAUAUACAAAUUGUGAAGGAUUUCUCGUUCCAUAUAGAGGGUGUUGUUAUCAUCGGAGUGAAUGGAGGCGUGGAUACACACCUUCGAAUAAAGAAGAACUCUUUAACAUGAGACACUCUAUGGCAACAAAUGUGAUAGAACGGACUUUUGAAUUGCUAAAAAUGCGUUGGGAAAUACUUAAGAGUCGCUCUUUCUACCCAAUAAAAAUUUAAAUGCUUGUUGUUUGUUACACAACUUUAUUCGAAGAGAAAUGCCUACUGACCCAAUGGAAGAACAAUUAGGCAUAGAUAUGGAAGCACAUAUAUUAUUCUUUAUUGAUUUUUUUACUUAUAAUUAUUCUCCAUGAUUACUUGAACAAAUAUGUUUGUUAUUCUUGUGUAGAGUCAUCCAAAUGCAAAAGAUUAUAGAUAUGCUCCAAUCCCAAUUUUUGACAAACUUGUCCAUGCUUUUGGAAAAGAUCGUGCUACUGGUAAAGGUGCUGCUCCCCCUGCUGAUAAUGUUGAGGAGAUAGAUAAAGAAAUAGAAGAGCUAUUUAACGACGAGGAGGAUGAUGUAGAAAUGACUCUGUCGCCGUCUAAUAAUAAAUCUAAAAGGAAGCUUAACAACAAAGAUAUACAUUUCAACAAAAGAAACAAAGAGGCAAGUCUAAUUGCUCAAAGUGUAUCUGAGUUAGGAAAGAAUUUCGGGGCGGUGAUUGAAAAAACCUCGGAAAGAUUGGCUGAAGUUGCCAAUCGUCUUGGAGUCGGUAAAGAUGUGUUUGAUGAUUCAAGAAACAUCAUGAAUGAGUUGAAGAAAAUGGAGCUACCAGAACAAGAACGUUUUGUUGCCGCUGACAAAAUAUUAUCUGUGCCACAUCGCUUACACAUAUUUUGGGGUUGUGUUGAUGUUGA